rnacentral:rRNA from 1 species
GAUGAACGCUGGCGGCGUGCUUAACACAUGCAAGUCGAACGGAGAGAAAGUGCUUGCACUUUCUCUUAGUGGCGGACGGGUGAGUAACGCGUGGGUAACCUGCCCUAUGCAGGGGGAUAACAACGAGAAAUCGUUGCUAAUACCGCAUAAUAAAGAAGAGCUGCAUGGCUUUUCUUUCAAAGAUUUAUCGGCAUAGGAUGGACCCGCGUUGGAUUAGCUAGUUGGUGAGAUAACAGCCCACCAAGGCGACGAUCCAUAGCCGGCCGGAGCGGGUGAACGGCCACGCGGUGACUGAGACACGGCCCGGACUCCAGCGGGAGGCAGCGGUGGGGAAUAUUGCACAAUGGGCGCAAGCCUGAUGCAGCGCCGCCGCGUGAAGGAUGAAGGUCUUCGGAUUGUAAACUUCUAUCAGCAGGGAAGAAGGAGUGUCUUCGGACACUCUUGACGGUACCUGACUAAGAAGCACCGGCUAACUACGUGCCAGCAGCCGCCGUAA